GCCUCCGGCCGUACCACCCGGAGACCGCCAGAUCUUGUCCGAUCUCAGAAGUUAAGGAGGGUCCGGCUGCUUAGUUACAUGGAUGGAAGACUGCCUGGGAAAACUGUGUGCUGUAGGCU
rnacentral:rRNA from 1 species